rnacentral:tRNA from 1 species
CCUUAAGUAGCUUAAACAAAAGCCUCAGCCUCUUGAUCUGAAGAUGGGCAGGAACCCCUUAAGGA